rnacentral:antisense_RNA from 1 species
AUCACAGUCAGACGGGCACAAAACUUCAACCAGCCGUUUCUCUGCCUGGAAGCGGCGAACAUGUAACCUGGACGGGAGGCUGGAUGGGGACACAUACCAUGAGUGACAUCUUACCAGAGGGUGGCCAUGAACUUCAUCAUGUUCCACAACUGUUAAUGACCACUGGCGCUGGCCCUGCUGCUCUCUGAACUCCUCUCUAUGGAACUGUGCCCCUUCUCUGGGAAGAGUCCUUGAAGCUCUACUGAGAAUGAAACCUCUUCUUUCAGCUCAUGUCAAUCUUGGUAUUUUCCCAACAUGUUCAGAUUCUGGCUUGGAGGUGCUAUCUGUUGUUGACUUUGGACAUAAACGAAGCUGUUAUUUGCCUCUUUUGGUUUGUUAUGUUGACAAGCUUUUGGGAUUUGUUCUUUAAGAUUCCCCACCCCUAUUGUAUGAUGAUAGGUGCUGGAACCAGACUGGUUGGGUUCAAAUUUUUGCUGUCGCUAACUUGCUUUGUGAACACAUGUCAGUUACUGAAUCUCCCCGUGCCUCAGUUUUUUAAAUAUGUAAACAGGGAGUUCUCGUAGUACCCGUGGGUCUUAGUCAGUUAUUGCUAUAGAACCAACCACCCCCAGACUUAGUAACAUCAACAACAA